GCCGGGUGUGGUGGCUCACGCCUGUAAUCCCAGCAUUUUGGGAGGCCGAAGUGGGUGGAUCACCUGAGGCCAGGAGUUCAAGACCAGCCUGGCCAACACGGUGAAACCCCAUCUCUA
rnacentral:SRP_RNA from 2 species